rnacentral:misc_RNA from 1 species
UUUCCGUAGGUGAACCUGCGGAAGGAUCAUUAUUGUAUAACCGAGGUGCGAGGGCUGUCGCUGACCCGAAAGGUCGUGCACGCCCGAGUGCCCUCACACACAUCCAUCUCACCCCUAUAUGCACCACCGCGUGGGUCCCCCUUUGGCUUGUUCGGAGGGGGGCUUACGUUUUCACACAAACUUUGUAUGCAGUGUAGAAUGUACUUUUUGUUUUUGCGAUCACGCAACCAAUACAACUUUCAACAACGGAUCUCUUGGCUCUC